GACGAACGCUGGCGGUGUGCUUAACACAUGCAGGUCGAACGGUAAGGCCCUUUCGGGGGUACACGAGUGGCGAACGGGUGAGUAACACGUGAGUAACCUGCCCUCAUCUCUGGGAUAACAGUCGGAAACGGUUGCUAAUACUGGAUAUGAGCUUGCAAGGCAUCUUGUGGGUUGGAAAGAUUUUUUUUGGUUGGGGAUGGACUCGCGGCCUAUCAGCUUGUUGGUGAGGUAGUGGCUCACCAAGGCUUCGACGGGGAGCCGGCCUGAGAGGGCGACCGGCCACAUUGGGACUGAGAUACGGCCCAAACUCCUACGGGAGGCAGCAGUGGGGAAUAUUGCACAAUGGACGGAAGUCUGAUGCAGCAACGCCGCGUGCGGGAUGACGGCCUUCGGGUUGUAAACCGCUUUCAAUUGUGACGAAGCUUUUUUGUGACGGUAGCAGUAGAAGAAGCACCGGCUAACUACGUG
rnacentral:rRNA from 1 species